rnacentral:rRNA from 1 species
GGAUAACACUUGGAAACAGGUGCUAAUACCGUAUAACACUAUUUUCCGCAUGGAAGAAAGUUGAAAGGCGCUUUUGCGUCACUGAUGGAUGGACCCGCGGUGCAUUAGCUAGUUGGUGAGGUAACGGCUCACCAAGGCCACGAUGCAUAGCCGACCUGAGAGGGUGAUCGGCCACACUGGGACUGAGACACGGCCCAGACUCCUACGGGAGGCAGCAGUAGGGAAUCUUCGGCAAUGGACGAAAGUCUGACCGAGCAACGCCGCGUGAGUGAAGAAGGUUUUCGGAUCGUAAAACUCUGUUGUUAGAGAAGAACAAGGAUGAGAGUAGAACGUUCAUCCCUUGACGGUAUCUAACCAGAAAGCCACGGCUAACUACGUGCCAGCAGCCGCGGUAAUACGUAGGUGGCAAGCGUUGUCCGGAUUUAUUGGGCGUAAAGCGAGCGCAGGCGGUUUCUUAAGUCUGAUGUGAAAGCCCCCGGCUCAACCGGGGAGGGUCAUUGGAAACUGGGAGACUUGAGUGCAGAAGAGGAGAGUGGAAUUCCAUGUGUAGCGGUGAAAUGCGUAGAUAUAUGGAGGAACACCAGUGGCGAAGGCGGCUCUCUGGUCUGUAACUGACGCUGAGGCUCGAAAGCGUGGGGAGCGAACAGGAUUAGAUACCCUGGUAGUCCACGCCGUAAACGAUGAGUGCUAAGUGUUGGAGGGUUUCCGCCCUUCAGUGCUGCA